CUCCCUCUGAUGCUUGACGGCUCGGCGCGAGCGUGGCUGAAUCAGUUGGCCCCCUCAAGCAUCUACAGUUGGGCAGAUCUAGCCCGAGUGUUCAUCAAGACCUUCGAAGGGACGUGCAAGCGCCCUGCAGGCCUCGUGGAGCUCCAGCAUUGCGUCCAGAAGCAGAAUGAGCCCCUGCGUGACUUCAUUCAGCGUUGGACAACUCUCUACCACAC
rnacentral:lncRNA from 1 species